UUAAGUUAUUAAGGGCGCACGGUGGAUGCCUUGGCACUAGAAGCCGAUGAAGGACGUUACUAACGACGAUAUGCUUUGGGGAGCUGUAAGUAAGCUUUGAUCCAGAGAUUUCCGAAUGGGGAAACCCAGCAUGAGUUAUGUCAUGUUAUCGAUAUGUGAAUACAUAGCAUAUCAGAAGGCACACCCGGAGAACUGAAACAUCUUAGUACCCGGAGGAAGAGAAAGAAAAUUCGAUUCCCUUAGUAGCGGCGAGCGAAACGGGAAGAGCCCAAACCAACAAGCUUGCUUGUUGGGGUUGUAGGACACUCUAUACGGAGUUACAAAGGACGACAUUAGACGAAUCAUCUGGAAAGAUGAAUCAAAGAAGGUAAUAAUCCUGUAGUCGAAAAUGUUGUCUCUCUUGAGUGGAUCCUGAGUACGACGGAGCACGUGAAAUUCCGUCGGAAUCUGGGAGGACCAUCUCCUAAGGCUAAAUACUCUCUAGUGACCGAUAGUGAACCAGUACCGUGAGGGAAAGGUGAAAAGCACCCCGGAAGGGGAGUGAAACAGAACCUGAAACCGUGUGCUUACAAGUAGUCAGAGCCCGUUAAUGGGUGAUGGCGUGCCUUUUGUAGAAUGAACCGGCGAGUUACGAUUUGAUGCAAGGUUAAGCAGUAAAUGUGGAGCCGUAGCGAAAGCGAGUCUGAAUAGGGCGUUUAGUAUUUGGUCGUAGACCCGAAACCAGGUGAUCUACCCUUGGUCAGGUUGAAGUUCAGGUAACACUGAAUGGAGGACCGAACCGACUUACGUUGAAAAGUGAGCGGAUGAACUGAGGGUAGCGGAGAAAUUCCAAUCGAACCUGGAGAUAGCUGGUUCUCUCCGAAAUAGCUUUAGGGCUAGCCUCAAGUGAUGAUUAUUGGAGGUAGAGCACUGUUUGGACGAGGGGCCCCUCUCGGGUUACCGAAUUCAGACAAACUCCGAAUGCCAAUUAAUUUAACUUGGGAGUCAGAACAUGGGUGAUAAGGUCCGUGUUCGAAAGGGAAACAGCCCAGACCACCAGCUAAGGUCCCAAAAUAUAUGUUAAGUGGAAAAGGAUGUGGCGUUGCCCAGACAACUAGGAUGUUGGCUUAGAAGCAGCCAUCAUUUAAAGAGUGCGUAAUAGCUCACUAGUCGAGUGACACUGCGCCGAAAAUGUACCGGGGCUAAACAUAUUACCGAAGCUGUGGAUUGUCCUUUGGACAAUGGUAGGAGAGCGUUCUAAGGGCGUUGAAGCAUGAUCGUAAGGACAUGUGGAGCGCUUAGAAGUGAGAAUGCCGGUGUGAGUAGCGAAAGACGGGUGAGAAUCCCGUCCACCGAUUGACUAAGGUUUCCAGAGGAAGGCUCGUCCGCUCUGGGUUAGUCGGGUCCUAAGCUGAGGCCGACAGGCGUAGGCGAUGGAUAACAGGUUGAUAUUCCUGUACCACCUAUAAUCGUUUUAAUCGAUGGGGGGACGCAGUAGGAUAGGCGAAGCGUGCGAUUGGAUUGCACGUCUAAGCAGUAAGGCUGAGUAUUAGGCAAAUCCGGUACUCAUUAAGGCUGAGCUGUGAUGGGGAGAAGACAUUGUGUCUUCGAGUCGUUGAUUUCACACUGCCGAGAAAAGCCUCUAGAUAGAAAAUAGGUGCCCGUACCGCAAACCGACACAGGUAGUCAAGAUGAGAAUUCUAAGGUGAGCGAGCGAACUCUCGUUAAGGAACUCGGCAAAAUGACCCCGUAACUUCGGGAGAAGGGGUGCUCUUUAGGGUUAACGCCCAGAAGAGCCGCAGUGAAUAGGCCCAAGCGACUGUUUAUCAAAAACACAGGUCUCUGCUAAACCGUAAGGUGAUGUAUAGGGGCUGACGCCUGCCCGGUGCUGGAAGGUUAAGAGGAGUGGUUAGCUUCUGCGAAGCUACGAAUCGAAGCCCCAGUAAACGGCGGCCGUAACUAUAACGGUCCUAAGGUAGCGAAAUUCCUUGUCGGGUAAGUUCCGACCCGCACGAAAGGCGUAACGAUUUGGGCACUGUCUCAACGAGAGACUCGGUGAAAUCAUAGUACCUGUGAAGAUGCAGGUUACCCGCGACAGGACGGAAAGACCCCGUGGAGCUUUACUGUAGCCUGAUAUUAAAAUUCGGCACAGCUUGUACAGGAUAGGUAGGAGCCUUUGAAACGUGAGCGCUAGCUUACGUGGAGGCGCUGGUGGGAUACUACCCUAGCUGUGUUGGCUUUCUAACCCGCACCACUUAUCGUGGUGGGAGACAGUGUCAGGCGGGCAGUUUGACUGGGGCGGUCGCCUCCUAAAAGGGAACGGGGGCGCUCAAAGGUUCCCUCAGAAUGGUUGGAAAUCAUUCAUAGAGUGUAAAGGCAUAAGGGAGCUUGACUGCGAGACCUACAAGUCGAGCAGGGUCGAAAGACGGACUUAGUGAUCCGGUGGUUCCGCAUGGAAGGGCCAUCGCUCAACGGAUAAAAGCUACCCCGGGGAUAACAGGCUUAUCUCCCCCAAGAGUUCACAUCGACGGGGAGGUUUGGCACCUCGAUGUCGGCUCAUCGCAUCCUGGGGCUGUAGUCGGUCCCAAGGGUUGGGCUGUUCGCCCAUUAAAGCGGUACGCGAGCUGGGUUCAGAACGUCGUGAGACAGUUCGGUCCCUAUCCGUCGUGGGCGUAGGAAAUUUGAGAGGAGCUGUCCUUAGUACGAGAGGACCGGGAUGGACAUACCUCUGGUGUACCAGUUGUCGUGCCAACGGCAUAGCUGGGUAGCUAUGUGUGGACGGGAUAAGUGCUGAAAGCAUCUAAGCAUGAAGCCCCCCUCAAGAUGAGAUUUCCCAACUUCGGUUAUAAGAUCCCUCAAAGAUGAUGAGGUUAAUAGGUUCGAGGUGGAAGCAUGGUGACAUGUGGAGCUGACGAAUACUAAUCGAUCGAAGACUUAAUCAA
rnacentral:rRNA from 1 species